rnacentral:rRNA from 1 species
GAUGAACGCUGGCGGCGUGCCUAAUACAUGCAAGUCGAGCGAACAGACUAGGAGCUUGCUCCUCUGACGUUAGCGGCGGACGGGUGAGUAACACGUGUAUAACCUACCUAUAAGACUGGGAUAACUUCGGGAAACCGGAGCUAAUACCGGAUAAUAUAUUGAACCGCAUGGUUCAAUAGUGAAAUACGGUUUUGCUGUCACUUAUAGAUGGAUCCGCGCUUCAUUAGCUAGUUGGUAGGGUAACGGCUUACCAAGGCAACGAUGCGUAGCCGACCUGAGGGGGGGUAGGGCCACACAGAAGCUGAGAGACGACCCAGAGACUUAGGGGAGGCCGAGGUGGGGAAGGGACGGAACUGGGGGAAAGACUGAAGAAGCAACGCAGGGUGGGUGAAGAAGGUCUUCGGACGGUAAAACGCUGUUAUUGGGGAAAAACGAUUUUGAAGGUAACGAAGCACGAGUGAAGGGAACCUAUAAAGAAGGACCGGGCAAAUAAGGG